rnacentral:rRNA from 1 species
UACAGAGGUCUCAAGCGUUGUUCGGAUUCAUUGGGCGUAAAGGGUGCGUAGGCGGCGCGGUAAGUCGGGUGUGAAAUCUCGGGCUUAACUCCGAAACUGCAUUCGAUACUGCCGUGCUUGAGGACUGGAGAGGAGACUGGAAUUUACGGUGUAGCGGUGAAAUGCGUAGAUAUCGUAAGGAAGACCAGUGGCGAAGGCGGGUCUCUGGACAGUUCCUGACGCUGAGGCACGGAAAGCGUGGGGAGCGAACAGG